CCCUUAGAUGUCCUGGGCCGCACGCGCGUUACACUGAUGCAUUCAACGAGCUUAUAACCUUGGCCGAGAGGCCUGGGCAAUCUUGUUAACGUGCAUCGUGAUAGGGAUAGAUUAUUGAAAUUAUUAAUCUUGGACGAGGAAUUCCUAGUAAACGCAGAUCAUCAAUCUGCAUUGAUUACGUCCCUGCCCUUUGUACACACCGCCCGUCGCACCUACCGAUUGGAUGGUCCGGUGAAGCCUCGGGAUUGUGGUUCUUGCCGCUUUAUUGUAGCGUGACCGCGAGAACUUGUCUAAACCUUAUCAUCUAGAGGAAGGUGAAGUCGUAACA
rnacentral:rRNA from 1 species